AGAGUUUGAUCCUGGCUCAGGAUGAACGCUGGCGGCGUGCUUAACACAUGCAAGUCGAACGGUGAAGCCAAGCUUGCUUGGUGGAUCAGUGGCGAACGGGUGAGUAACACGUGAGCAACCUGCCCUGGACUCUGGGAUAAGCGCUGGAAACGGUGUCUAAUACUGGAUAUGAGCCCCUUCCGCAUGGUGGGGGUUGGAAAGAUUUUUUGGUCUGGGAUGGGCUCGCGGCCUAUCAGCUUGUUGGUGAGGUAAUGGCUCACCAAGGCGUCGACGGGUAGCCGGCCUGAGAGGGUGACCGGCCACACUGGGACUGAGACACGGCCCAGACUCCUACGGGAGGCAGCAGUGGGGAAUAUUGCACAAUGGGCGGAAGCCUGAUGCAGCAACGCCGCGUGAGGGAUGACGGCCUUCGGGUUGUAAACCUCUUUUAGCAGGGAAGAAGCGAAAGUGACGGUACCUGCAGAAAAAGCACCGGCUUCAUUCCACGAGAUCCGUGCCGCAGCUAACGCAUUAAGUUCCCCGCCUGGGGAGUACGGCCGCAAGGCUAAAACUCAAAGGAAUUGACGGGGACCCGCACAAGCGGCGGAGCAUGCGGAUUAAUUCGAUGCAACGCGAAGAACCUUACCAAGGCUUGACAUACACCAGAACGGGCCAGAAAUGGUCACCCCGCAAGGUCGGUAUACAGGUGGUGCAUGGUUGUCGUCAGCUCGUGUCGUGAACUCUUUGGACACUGGUGAACAGGUGGUGCAUGGUUGUCGUCAGCUCGUGUCGUGAGAUGUUGGGUUAAGUCCCGCAACGAGCGCAACCCUCGUUCUAUGUUGCCAGCACGUAAUGGUGGGAACUCAUGGGAUACUGCCGGGGUCAACUCGGAGGAAGGUGGGGAUGACGUCAAAUCAUCAUGCCCCUUAUGUCUUGGGCUUCACGCAUGCUACAAUGGCCGGUACAAAGGGCUGCAAUACCGUGAGGUGGAGCGAAUCCCAAAAAGCCGGUCCCAGUUCGGAUUGAGGUCUGCAACUCGACCUCAUGAAGUCGGAGUCGCUAGUAAUCGCAGAUCAGCAACGCUGCGGUGAAUACGUUCCCGGGUCUUGUACACACCGCCCGUCAAGUCAUGAAAGUCGGUAACACCUGAAGCCGGUGGCCUAACCCUUGUGGAGGGAGCCGUCGAAGGUGGGAUCGGUAAUUAGGACUAAGUCGUAACAAGGUAGCCGUACCGGAAGGUGCGGCUG
rnacentral:rRNA from 1 species